GUUUGAGUGAGGAGCAAAAGGAACCUUAGAAGGAAGAUCUAAAGUUGGUUGUAUGUCUUGGUUUAGCUCUGGCUGAAGAGGAGCAGGAAUACAGAGACAGAACUCAUAAAAGUGGAGGCAGGAGAGCAGUACCUUUGGAGUUGGGUUCGAAUAAAUGCUCAGAAGUGAGAUAGAAAGAAACCAAAGGGAACGUAUCCCUUUCAAAACUUUUUCAAAUGGCUUCACAGUGCUGAGUAUGGUAUGUGAAAUCACUUGCUGUUUGGAGAUUUCUGGAUCCUUACUUGUUAUGUUAAGCUACAAAAUAAAUUUUC
rnacentral:lncRNA from 1 species